rnacentral:misc_RNA from 1 species
CCAAUAGCGUAUAUUAAAGUUGUUGCAGUUAAAAAGCUCGUAGUUGAAUUUCGGGAUCAAUAUUUCGGUCAUGCCGUUGGUAUGCACUGUUAUCAUUGAUUUCUCACCUUCUAAAGAACCGUAAUGCCAUUAAUUUGGUGUUACGGGGAAUUAGGACUGUUACCUUGAAAAAAUUAGAGUGUUUAAAGCAGGCUCACGCUUGAAUACAUUAGCAUGGAAUAAUGAAAUAGGACAUCCGAUUCUAUUUUGUUGGUUUCUAGGAUCGAUGUAAUGAUUAAUAGGGAUAGUUGGGGGCAUUAGUAUUCAAUUGUCAGAGGUGAAAUUCUUGGAUUUAUUGAAGACUAACUACUGCGAAAGCAUUUGCCAAGGAUGUUUUCAUUAAUCAAGAACGAAAGUUAGGGGAUCGAAGACGAUCAGAUACCGUCGUAGUCUUAACCAUAAACUAUGCCGACUAGGAAUCAGACGAUGUUAAUUUUUUAAUGACUCGUUUGGCACCUUACA